CCCGAAGCGCGUGGCUGGGAGGGGCUGCGCGCGGCCGGUUCACCACGUGAGAGCGGGUGCUGGCCCCACCCGCGUGUGCCACCCCCGGGGGAGGUCACCUUCACCGAGUUGUGGGAGUGGGCGCUGAGGCCUCUAUCCUGGAAAGCAGGAGCUGGCAGGGGUCGGAAUUAGGGCCUCAGAAGUGGCAUUCUCCUGGGGAUAAAUGCACUGAAGAGACUCCGCAGCCUCAACACGUACACAUUUAAACUGGAGGAUCCCAGACACACCAGGCUUGGCCUAUUCAGGGCCCUGACAGUGCACCCUGUCAAGGCCUGUGCAGCCCCACCGGGUACCCACUGCAGAGCAUCAAGGGACUCCUGCAGUUACCACUUCAGUUGUGCCACAAGGCCAGAGGACUCACCCGGUUUCCACUCUCACCAUUGUAUUCCCAGCACCUAGUGGAGCUUGGCACUAUGUAGGCUCUCAAUAUCUGUUCAGUCUCUGGGUACGGUGGUAUACACGUGUAAUCCCAGCGGUUCGGAAGGCUAAGGCAGGAGGAUCACAAGUUCAAAGCCAGCCUCAGCAACUUAGUGAGGUCCUGAGCAACUUGGCAUAGACUGGUAUAGACUCUGUCUCAACGUGAAAUAUAAAAAGGGCUGGGGGGCUGGGAUUGUGGCUCAGCGGUAGAGCACUUGCCUAGCACGUUCGAGGCCCUGGGUUCGAUCCUCAGCACCACAUAAAAAUAAAUGAAUAAAAUAAUGGUACAGUGUCAACUACAACUAAAAAUUAUUUUUAAAAAAAUAAAUAAAUGAAAAUUAAAAGGGCUGGGGGUGUGCUUCGGUGGUUAAGCAUCCCUGGGUUCAAUCCCUGGUAGAAAAAAAUAUAUCUGUUCAGGGAAGGAAAGAAGACACCAACUCAGGUGAGCUAGACUCCCCCCCACCUCCAACUAUGUCUAACUCCAGAAGGACCCAUCUUCAAACAAGUGAACCAGUGUUUUCCUCAGAGACAUUCAGAAUGAAAAGACAAGGUCGGUUGGUCCGUCUCUCUUUUCUCUCUCUCCCUCUCUCUCUUUCUCUUAAAUUCAUCUAAAUUUCUUCAUUUAAACAAAUUCAGAGGCUAUGAUAAUAAGUGUGUUAUAAGACCCUUUCUUUUUAUUAAAUGAUAGUAUAGAACUAUUUAUAUAAAUAAAUAGCUAUAUUUAUUUAUAUGCAGCACUGGGGAUUGAAUCCAGGUCUCAUGCACCAUUAGGGAAGCACUCUUUCUGUGAGUUACACCCUUAGCCCUCAUAGGUAGCUACUGAGCACUUGAAAUGUGGCUAGUAUGAAUUGAAAUGAUGCUGUAGUGCAGAAUACACAUUGGCUUUCACAUAUUAUUAUUAAAAAAAAAGUAACAUAACCAGGAGCCGUGGCGCACGCCUGUAAUCCCAGCAGCUCCAGAGGCUGAGGCAGGGGAAUCACGAGUUCAAAGUCACCCUCAGCAACGGUGAGGGGCAAAGCAACUCAGUGAGACCCUGUCUCUAGAUAAAAUACAAAAUGGGCUGGGGAUGGGGCUCAAUGGUUAAGUGCCCCUGAGUUCAAUUCCCGGUACAAAAAUAAAUAAAUAAAUAAAAAAUAAGUUCUGUUUAUAUAUUUCUAUUGAUUACACGUUGAGAAUAUAUUUUGGAUAUAUAUCACGUUUACUGAACUUACAUGUAAUUAAUAGUAGUCAUUAGCAAGUAAUGAUUAAUAAAGCAAAUAAAAUAUAUGAAAAUUAAA